GGGCUCCAAACCUCCGCUGCUGCAGACCUGGGGAGUGGUGGGCUCUGUAGAGCAGAGAAACUGUUCCCAUGGAGCUGGGCUGCCUCGGAGCUGCCUGGUCACACCCAGCCAAGGCCAAGCCUGGGCUGUUAGCCGGCGACCCGGGCAGCUGCCAACCACUGCUGGGCGCAGGCAGGCAGGGCCAUUUGUCACAGCUCUGGGACCCGGGGCCCACCGUCCAUCGUCUGUCUGUCAUGUGCAGCCACAGCUGAACUGCCCUCCUGGACCAUCUGGAGGCCACCAAGGACUGGGGAAGGACACACAAUGUGCCAGAGAGGAGUGAGGGUGAGGGGUGGAGCGGCAGUGACAGUAGCUGAAGGCCAGCUGCCCUCAGAGGAGACCCUCCCACUGCACCUGCUCCUGCCCUGGGUCUCUCCACCAAACCCUGGGGCAGACCUGGGUGCCCCACAGUGUUCUGGGUGCUUCCGUGCUCUGAGAAGUGUCAGGCCGGCAGGGAGAGCCUGCCACCCAGAGGGUGGCCGACAGUAGUCACUGUGUGGUGAAAGGAAACCCAGAGGCCAUGGAACCCCCAGAGGGGAAUCUGGCCCAACCUGGAGGAGCACGCAUCCUCUCAGAGGUGGUGACAAGCUGAAUUUUCACACAAGGGAAAACGGGAAGGGUGGUCCAGGUAGAGGCCCUGGCCUGUCGCCCGUGGUCUGUGUCCAGGCACCCCAGGUCUGCCCAGGGCUUUGCUACACACAGUAGGUGCUCACUGAGCAUGUGUUGAAACCAGCAAAAGAUUCGUCCAUAUAUGGAGGUGGAAUCUGGCCAGGGCAGAGGCAGCUUGGGCCAGCCCACUGCAGGAGGCUAGUGCUGGCAGAGCUCUUUGAAGGUUGCAGAGGCCACAAACAGGUAGAAAGGGUGACCGUCUCCCAGCGCACAGCAGAGCCCACGGGCUCAGAGCCACCUGCCAGCGGAAUUCCCAGGGAUCUGCUCUCAGUGGCUCCCCCAGCCCCGCCCCGGGCCUGGGCAAAUGUUCCCAGCCCGUCCACUCCCUGCUUCCCAGGGGCCGGACUGCCCUGUCCCUGGCCUUGUGUGUCUCAUUCACGGGCGUCCGGCCAGCCACCCUGGGACCUGCCAACCCUGUGAUUCAGGAGCUGUGGUGGGGGGUUGGGGGGGGGUGGGUGACCCUCUUUGCUGCCGGCCGAUGAGGGCUGCUCCGGGCUGUUCACUGAGCCUGGUGGGUGCCAGACAGACUGGGACCAGGGCUGCAGGCCAAGGCGUGGGAGACUUUGGUGGCUCCAGGCAGCUACAUGGGGUGGAGAGCAAGGCUGGUCCCCAAGCAGGACCUGUGCUGCCACCUCGCCGCUUCUCAACCAGGGGCCGGCCAAGGGGCAAAAGCACCGAGCUCAGGCUGCACUACUCCCGGCCCUCUGUCUGCGGCAGCUGGGAGUCUCCUAUGCAUCCUUCAAGGCCCAUCCCAGAAGGCCCCUACCUGAGGGAGUCCUUUGGCAUCUGCAGCAUAUCCCCCCUCCCCCCAAGACCACUGCACAGGGCCGGCAUUUAUAACUGGGCCUCCCCGACCAGACUGUGAGCCCUUUCGGGUCUCUGGUCCAUCCAUCUCCACCCACCAUACCCUCCCCAGGGCUCUGAUCUGUUGAAUGAAUAAGUGACCGCCUGGGUGUCCUAGGCCCUGAGAAAGGACCCUGGGAAGAUGGAGGGGUGGGGGGUGGGGGCCGCAGGCCUAGCGGGAGAGAAGGAGCUGAAGAGAGACAGCAGCCAGAGGAGGAAAAGAGGAAGUGGAGGGGCCAGAGGAAGAGGGAGGAGACCUCCGGAGAGGAAGUGAACAGGUUCUUUGCCCUUGCAGGGAGUUUUCAGAGCUGUCACCGGGGCAGGCACACAGCCCCCGGGGCCCUUAGCCGGCUCAGCCAAUGGGGACUUCACUUGCCUUUCUGGUGCUUUUUUUUUUUCCUCUUGCGGUUCCCCUCCCUGAGAGGCCUCCAGGCCAGGCGACCUUUACAGCCCAUAGCAAAGGACCACUCCCCACCUUCCUCCAGAACUGGCCACCCGGCCGCCUUGCUCUGGGUGUUCGGACCCCACUGCUGCCCUGACCCGCGGGGAAACCAAGCUCCAUUUUUCAGAGGAAGAAACUGAGGCAGGACAGAGAAGGGGAGACCUUAGGAAGACCUUAGACUGUUGGCUCCAGGAGGGCAGAGCCCCUGCGCACUGUGGGUCCUCACUGAGGAGCAACUGAUGGGCAGCAUUCUAGCAAAUACGCCUCUUGCUACAGAUGAGGAAACUGAGGCCAGACUGGAAAAGGGCUUGGAGUCCGGUGUGAGGGAUUCCAGGUGUAGGGCCUGGAGGCCUCUCACUGCCUCUGCAGUGUCCCCUGCAGUGUCCUCAGGGACUGGGACCAAAGGCUGUUCCAAAGUCUAAAUUCUUGGGUCCCACCUCUGUCCUCAGUGCUUAUCUCCUGAGGCCCAGAGAAGACAGCCACUAGCCCUUGGUUACACAACAGGGGGUCCUCAGCCCCAGGCCUGCACGCUGUCACCACCUCUUUCCCCUGCCCUCGUCCCCUGCUCCCAGGAUGGUCUCAAGAGGCAAUUCUGGACUUCUGGAUUCCUAAGGUCCUGGGAGGGACUGGGCUUGGGGUGCCUCUGCCUCCAGGGCCAGCUCUGGGCUGCCACCUCCAGGAAGUCGGCUAUGACUUCCUCCCUCCUCUACCAUAACAGCAGUAAGCUUUCCUGCCCAGAGAGGGGAACUGACCCAGUCAGGAUUACACAGCAAGAGCACAGGCAGCAGCUCAACAUCCUGGAUCACACUGCUCCUGCAUUCCACACACCAGCACCGACCAGCCAGACGUGCUUCCAGAGAAGAAGAGCACCAGACAACACACUGAAUAAAGCAGGGCACCCAGAGAAACGCCACCCUCCUGGGGAGUUCCCAGCCUUGCUUAUUUGAUUGAAUUUUUCAGAAAUAGACGCUCACCUACCUCAGGGCGAAGCCCGCAUCCGCAGCGCAUCAGCGACAGGACAGGGAAGGCAGAGUCCCCAAGGGCCCGCGGAAGCAGAGCCAGACCCACCUGCGCACACAGAACGCUCACCGCGCCCCUGCCGGCCAAGCAGGAAUCUCCCCAUUUCUCAGAGGAGCCAGCUGAGAUCAGUGAGAGCGAGAAUCAAUUAAUUACUGAUUACCGGAACCCAGGAGUCUGGGCUGGAGCAGCGCAAAGGCCCACAGCCAGUCUCGAGGGGGCACCCUGAGUCCCUGAGCCUCCAGGGGGCUGCUGUUCUCAGGUCAGACUUGAGCCUUGUUCUCCGGAAGUCUCCAGGGAAAACAACUGUUUGAUAUCCUGAACGUGUGAGGAGCUGAACUGGAGGAAGAGCAACCCAGCCCAAGGAUCAAGCAAGGCUUUCCACAGGAGGGGUCUUUUUGGCUGGGCUUUGAAGUAUGAAUAGGAGUUCACAAAGGAGACAAUUUAGAGGGGGCUUGACAGAAGGUAUGUUGGGAGAACUGCAAAUAUCUGAUGUGGCUGGGAACUUUGGAAAUUGAGUCCAUAGAAACCUUAAUGGGGAGAUCUGGGCUCAACACCAUUUUUGUUCUGGCCAACACUCAGUAGAGUACAUGGAGGCCCCAUCUGAGAAAGACCCCAACUGGGUGAGCAGGGUUGGGGUGGGCAUGGGGUUGGUGGAGCCCUCUUAGCACAGCUCAGUGGGGGCUGUGAGUCCUUACCCCUUGGAAGGAAUGUACUGGGCCUUGAAUUCAGGUCCCAUUGUACAGGUGGGGAGACUGAGGUAGGCAGGGUCAGAGCUAGGCUCGAAUAGCUGGGUUAAGCUUGGGUUCUGGAGCCCAUAAGGGCAAGAAACAGGCCCUCCUGGAAGUUGGACACCCUGCAGACGCAAGUUUACGGGGCCAGCCUCUGGGGUCCAGCGCUGGGGGUACCAUGACACUCACCAAAGAACUGGCUGGAAACAAGGAACUAGAACUCUGCAACAGGUGACAGCUGCAGGGCCUCUGUGCUGCCCUCCCCCAAAGCUGUCAGGUGCCCCUUCCUCUCCUAGUCAGCCUCAGCCUUGGCCCAGAGAAGGAAAGCAAGAUGCAGGGCCACACAGCAAGAACGCAGCCUUGGAACUCAGCCAGGAGGUGGGAAAGUGCUUCCCAGGUCUGGAGAUUUGCUGGCGCCCAGGAUGCCUGGGGUGGGUGUGUUCUCAGAGGACUGGCGUGGACUCAGGAGCUGGGACUUUGUCCGCAAUGGUAAUGGGGAGCUAUAGAGGGUGGGGGAGCGGGAGAGGGGAGGGCCAUGUCUGAUGUUUCAGCAGAUGGCUCUCCAUUAUGAAAGGGCCCAGGAGGCUCCAAAACUAACUCUGUAGCCUCAGAUUUCAGAUUUCUGUCUGUCUCUGGCCAAGUAGGAGUUUGUAUUAGAAAUACUAGC